UACUCCUACGGGAGGCAGCAGUGAGGAAUAUUGGUCAAUGGGCGAGAGCCUGAACCAGCCAAGUAGCGUGCAGGAUGACGGCCCUAUGGGUUGUAAACUGCUUUUAUGUGGGGAUAAAGUGAGCUACGUGUAGUUUAUUGCAGGUACCACAUGAAUAAGGACCGGCUAAUUCCGUGCCAGCAGCCGCGGUAAUACGGAAGGUCCAGGCGUUAUCCGGAUUUAUUGGGUUUAAAGGGAGCGUAGGCCGUGGAUUAAGCGUGUUGUGAAAUGUAGACGCUCAACGUCUGAAUUGCAGCGCGAACUGGUUCACUUGAGUAUGCACAACGUAGGCGGAAUUCGUCGUGUAGCGGUGAAAUGCUUAGAUAUGACGAAGAACUCCGAUUGCGAAGGCAGCUUACGGGAGCACAACUGACGCUGAAGCUCGAAGGUGCGGGUAUCAAACAGGAUUAGAUACCCUGGUAGUCCGCACAGUAAACGAUGGAUGCCCGUUGUUAGUUCACUUUAGAAUUAGCGACCAAGCGAAAGCAUUAAGCAUCCCACCUGGGGAGUACGCCGGCAACGGUGAAACUCAAAGGAAUUGACGGA
rnacentral:rRNA from 1 species